GUCGAACGCUGGCGGCGUGCUUAACACAUGCAAGUCGAACGGAAAAGCCGUGCUUUCGUCGGGUGCUCGAGUCGGGAAGGGGUGAGUAACACGUGAGUAUCCUGCCCUUGACUUUGGGAUAACUUCAGGAAACUGGGGCUAAUACAUGAUAGGAGCUCCUGAUGGAGGGGGGGGGUUGGAAAGUAUCGGCCGUAUGGGAUGGACUCGCGGCUUAUGAGCUUGUUGGUGGGGGAGUUGCUUACCAGGGCUUUGACGGGUAGCCGGCCUGAGAGGGUGACCAGGGACAUUGGGACUGAGGGACGGCCCAGAGCCCUACAGGAGACAGCAGUGGGAAAUAUUGCACAAUCGGCGGAAGCCUGAUGCAGCAACGCUCCGUUCGUGAUGCCGGCCAUCGGGUGAUAAAGGGCAGUCGCCUGUGACGAUGCGUUAUUGACGGUAAUGACUAAAGAAGCACCGGCUAACUACGUG
rnacentral:rRNA from 1 species